GGGUCACAUGGACGAAGGUUCAGUGACAACAGCUCUGUGAUUCCUUCCCACAUUAUUUCAACCUGUUGUGAAAAUCAUUCAUUAGAGCUAGGCAAUGGCUGUUGUCAUGGAUACCUAUUGUUUUAAUCAGCCCAAUGGGCUACCUGUUUGUAGGAACUGCGCUUCUACUCCGUCGGUGUUGUUCAGCUCUGACUCACCUGGACAGGCCUGCUUUCUCCCUGGGUUUGCUGUAACAAAGUACCAUAGAUGGAGUAGUGCAAAAAUCACAGAGAUUAUUAUUUCUCAAUUAUGGAGGCUGAAAGACUGAAAUCAAGAUUUUAUGUUGCUGAGCAAUCCUGAAUCACAAACCUGUCAAAGAGGAAGCUGUUUGUGUUUGGGAACUUCACAUGUGAGAAUACAUUCCAGCAGCAGGAUGAGAGGAUUUUCCUGAAGCCUAGAAGUUCUUGGAGUUCCACUGGAUUUGCAAAUGUACCAAAGAGGGCACAUCUUGUUGUGCAUAUUUUUGAACUUUCAAAUCUUAUGUCUCAAAAUGCUGGUUGCUGGUGGAAGGGGUCUUUUGCAGGUAGACGUGACUCAGGAAAGGGGAAAUGAGCAGGAGGAGAGAGACACAAGGAGUUCCACACACUGGGGAAAGGUCCCCACUGUGUUUUGUAUUUGUGUUUUAAAUUUUGGGAGUGACUCAUAGGCAUUUAGCAAAAGUAAUUGAUUAAAUUAACCUUAUCAGUACUGAGGUUUCCUGGCCUCUCUCAUCAGAUACUUGGCUCACAGGCUGGUAGGUAUUUAGUUGGUGACUGGUGAAGAGUGUGGGCUGAGUCCCACCUUUACAAGUGUGACGGUAAUACCAUCCUUGCUCUAUCACAUCCAGACUUUAUUAAAAUCAAGACGUGGUCCCCUGACUUGUUUGUUUUCCUUGGGCAUACAAAACAGAUGCUUGGGACUCACUUCACUAGACACAGCAAAUCAGGGUCAGCUGUGAAGAGUCAAGUGCACACUUUGCCUGUUCUGCAAGGAUACAUUUUUUAGC